CUGGUUCCAAAGGGUCAGGGAGGAUUUUCCGUGGACCCUUGUUUCUCUGCAUGGUAAGGAGAAGCCCAGUGGGGGUGAAUUUUCAUCUUACUUCUGUCAGUCGGGUUCACCCUAGGAAGCUGACCUCAGCUGUGUGGGGCUUGGCUACCCAAGAACAGGGGGUAAGACCCCCUGAGAGGAUCUCCAGCUGCCCACAGGCCUGGGCAGCAGCAUCCUGCCCCAGAACCCCAUGGCUGGGGUGUCCCACCACUUCUUGCUUGUCCUAAUCAUGCCUGGACACUGCCCUGACCAGAGGGCUGGGCCCCCUCCAACCCACUGCCCCCCUGGGGAUUCCAUUGUCACACCUGAGUGCUAAGUGUACUCAGCAGGGAGUCUCCCUCAAAAUAAAUACAGGUUGGGGAACCCUUACCCCAACCAAAUACCUGCUGCCAGAAGUGUUCAGAUUGCAUAUUGUUCCGAUUUGGGAAUAACCGUGCAGCAUUUACCAGUGAACAUCCCUAAUCUAAAACUCUGAAAUCCGAAAUGCUCCACAUCCAAGGUGGAGCAUCAGGUUGCCUCUCAAAAAGGUUUGAUUAUUGGAGCAUCUCAGAAGUUUGGACUAGAGGUGUUCAACCUACAUCCAGCUUUUGUUUAAUAGAGAUGAUUGAAUUUGCCAGUCACCCCCCGAGUCCUGGGUGCCUAUUCCACUGGAAAAGACAGUGAUUCUAGAACUUUCAGUGCUCCCUCACAGCUGUGAAGUUGAGACGUCAGGAAGUCACCAACUUCUUUGGGCUUCUUCAUAAGAACGUCCUUGCAAUUAUUCAGAGGGUCUCCCUUUUCUAGCAGAGAGCCAAGCGUGCUGGCCUCGUCCCACCGACUGAAAGAGAACGGGCCCUUAUACGCCAAGAGCAUAUUUAUAUCAUCACAUGCUACGUCCAGGAGAUGACGGGAAACUGGCAGAGCUGCCAGGGGUCCUGGAAAUCGAAGGAACAAGUCUGCACGACUCCAUCAGGGCAUCUGGGGAGCAGGCCGUGCUGAAGUUAGCUGUUUGCACCCCUUGAAAACCUUGUUUUUAACCCCAAUUUCCCGC
rnacentral:lncRNA from 1 species